GGCGGCCCGGCCCGCGGAGCCGGCGAGCUCCCGGCUGGCCGACCCGGUCGUCCCCCGCGGCCUGCGGUCGUUCGAGCCGGAGGACGCCG
rnacentral:tRNA from 1 species